CAUAGGUGAUUGAUUCCAGGACCCAUGAAUAUCACAAUCUGUGGAUACUCAAGUCCCUUAUAUAAAUGGCUUUGUAAUUGUUUGAUGGCUGGCAAUGAAGAGGACAUCUUUUUGCCUAUUCUUUCUUCAUUACCCUAAACUGCAAGCCCAGUUCUUCAAUAUCAGACACAGAAGAAGCCAGUAAUUCAAUGCUGCAGCAAAUGGUCAAUUGGUUCCAAUUCAAUUUGCCCAGUAGUGGAAAGGACCACAUGGAAGUGAAUACGAGAUGAGCCGUAGAAGCUGAGAGUGGUUUCUGGCUCAUGGCCACCAAGAAGGUAGAGCUUAUAUCCUACAACUAAGUUCCUGAAUUGUGCCAACAGCCAUGCAAGCUUAAUGGAGCACCCUAAGAUACAGAAUGGAACAAACCUUGUCAACACCUUUUCAGCCUUUUGAGAUCCCUGAGCAGAGAACCCAACUAAGCUAAGCUCAGAGUGAGAACCAAAGAAACUAUGAGAUAAUAAAUGGGUUUUUAAAAGAUACUAAUUUUUGGUAAUUUGUUA